rnacentral:rRNA from 1 species
UCCGCAGGCGGGUCAGUAAGUCAGAGGUGAAAGUUUGCGGCUCAACCGUAAAAUUGCCUUUGAUACUGCUGGUCUUGAGUUGCGGUGAAGUGGCCGGAAUAUGUGGUGUAGCGGUGAAAUGCAUAGAUAUCACAUAGAACACCGAUUGCGAAGGCAGGUCACUAACCGCCGACUGACGCUGAUGGACGAAAGCGUGGGGAGCGAACG